rnacentral:rRNA from 1 species
UACGGAGGGUGCAAGCGUUAUCCGGAUUUAUUGGGUUUAAAGGGUGCGCAGGCGGGACUUUAAGUCAGUGGUGAAAUCUCUUCGCUUAACGAAGAAACUGCCAUUGAUACUGAAGUUCUUGAAUCUAGUUGACGUUAGUGGAAUGUGUCAUGUAGCGGUGAAAUGCUUAGAUAUGACACAGAACACCGAUCGCGAAGGCAGCUAACGAAGCUAGUAUUGACGCUCAGGCACGACGAGCAUGGGGAGCAAACAGG